CUCCUUUUUUCGGCCUUUUGGAUAAAGAUCAAGUGUAGCAUCUGUUCUUAUCAGUUUAAUAUCAUAUAUGUGUACCAUUGGUCCGCACUAUAUUAACUCUAUUUUUUUAAGGGGAAGGUCCAUUAGGUAGCUUGCUAUGUAAUGACCCUUCAGGUCAUUUUUC
rnacentral:snRNA from 1 species